rnacentral:rRNA from 1 species
GAUGAACGCUGGCGGCGUGCCUAAUACAUGCAAGUCGAGCGAACAGACGAGGAGCUUGCUCCUCUGACGUUAGCGGCGGACGGGUGAGUAACACGUGGAUAACCUACCUAUAAGACUGGGAUAACUUCGGGAAACCGGAGCUAAUACCGGAUAAUAUAUUGAACCGCAGGGUUCAAUAGUGAAAGACGGUUUUGCGGUCACUUAUAGAUGGAUCCGCGCCGCAUUAGCGAGUUGGUAAGGUAACGGCUUACCAAGGCAACGAUGCGUAGCCGACCUGAGAGGGUGUUCGGCCACACUGGAACUGAGACACGGUCCAGACUCCUACGGGAGGCAGCAGUAGGGAAUCUUCCGCAAUGGGCGAAAGCCUGACGGAGCAACGCCGCGUGAGUGAUGAAGGUCUUCGGAUCGUAAAACUCUGUUAUUAGGGAAGAACAAAUGUGUAAGUAACUAUGCACGUCUUGACGGUACCUAAUCAGAAAGCCACGGCUAACUACGUG